CGGCAGACUGCACAUAGCUGCUCGCGGGCGCUGAGGGGCUGGUGGUGUGAGCGAGGGAGCCAGGCAUCGCUAUGUGGUGGUGAAGCGUGUCAGCGCGCCGACACACUGAUACAGGGCAGCAGCAAAGCUCGGUGCGGAGUCACUUCGUCGAUUAAAUAGUGAGAAAUGCAGCAAACUGGGCUCUUUCGUGGGUGAUAUUUUACAUAAAGCUGCGCCUGAUCGAGGAAAAGCUUCUACUGACUGCGAGUUGGAUCAGGCACAACAGUAGAAACAGAUUGUGGAAGUUAGUUACACCAGUGUCUGCAACAUCAGUCUCCAGCGCUGAGAUCGUGCUGUUAUUCAAAAGCACAAACAGGGAGUGAACAAAGAUAACAGUGCCCCAGCUGCACAAUGCAAACUCAUCCAGCUCUACCCAUUCGCCAAGGGUUGACUGAGUGCCCACAUCCUCCAGAAUAUCUCAUGGUGGGCACAGACUGUGUCGGUGGCCUCUUGACUUGCUGCUGAGCUGCAUUAUUGAGAUGAGAGCUGCUGAGAGCCAUAGCCAACAGCAUUAAGGGCCCUGCAGCUCAUCUGAACACUGGCCACACAGUGCUGCAAAUGGGCGAGGAUGGACAUUUUGGAUAGAAGCCAGAUCACCGUCAGUUCCAGCCAAGGAAACCAGUUUGUGACUAUCCCUUUGGUGAGUGCACAUUUAUUUGGUGCAAGAUUAACAAACCUAAAGUAAACAGACAAAGAGACAGGCUCUGGAGCAGUGUGAGGAGGUGGCAAUAAAAAGGGAUGAUAAAGAGCAUGAAAACAUAAUCUGCAGCCAGCCAUAGAAAUUCCCUACUCCCCAGGGGCUGUUUUACAGAACUGGUUCUCUCUCGCAAACUGUAAAUAAUGAAGGCAGGGUCUGUAGCAGGGUGCAGAAGCAGCGUUAGGAGCUGAUUGGAAAGAGGAAGGUGCUAAGCACUGCAUGGAAGCGGAGAGCAUCGCUGUUCCUCUGCUGCUCAAAGCACUGGAAUCACCCCAAGCGAUUGAGCCCUUGCCAAGUAAUUCACCACUCUGUGAACAAGACCCUGCUUCUUGUUUGUGUUUGCUGAUCUGAUGCAGUUCCUAGUGCUUAGUGGUUUAACAGAACUCUUCAGGAGACACUCUAUUUAUCACUGAUAAAUCGCUGAUGAAAUCUAAGAUUCAGUUAUAAAGCGAGAGCUCAGCCACAGCUGUAUGAAAGGCUUUCCUCUGGCUUAGAAAUACACCAGUGAAGAUACUCGAUACGAUAACCCUGCACAACCCCUGCACUGCUCAGUGUUUCUUUCAGGCUUUUGCUCUUAAGGCAUAAUUAUUGUUUCUGGAUAAUGAUUGAAAAGAUCUGUAGGUUCAUCCCAUGCAAGACCAGCAUCACCCCGUCCUCAACCAACUCUCUGCUCCUUUACACACAGAGUGAAGCAGCUGAACUCAGCAAAGAGCUUCUCUGUUCUAAUAAGUUUUGUGUUUUCAACACUGCUGGUGCCAUCACCUCCCUUGCAUAAAGCACAUCAGUGGCUGGAUGCUUGGAGAAGUGGCUGUCUUAGUAUGUUUCAGGGGUCCUUUCUGUCUUGUUCAAGCAGUGCCCUAAAAGCAGUGAAUUCACACCCUUUUCUGUACAAAACCUUGGCAAGUCCCCUCAUCUCACUGCACAGUGUGCUUCAGGUACAGGGAUGGGGAUGAUUUCCUCUCCUUGCAGGUGUGGGUUGAGGAUAAAGCCCAUGAAAAACUUGGAAACAUUCCUAAGAAUUCCCCAUCUGCCUUUGAACCAGGACCUCCACCUAUUUUCUUAUCAGCUGCUCAAGUAACAGAUGGCAUAAACAACUGCUUUGCAAGCUCUUUUUUGAGCUGCACUAGACACGUAACUAGAACGUGGAAACAGCCUAGUGUGGAGAAGACCACACUGCAAAUCUUCUAGGUGAUUUUCAAGGGUUUUUGGGUUUCCAACCCAAACCAUUCUAUGAUUCCAUGAUUCUUCCUUUGUGUGUAUCCAUUAUUUCCCAAUAAUAGAUACAGUGUUGAUGCUCUCUCUGGAUCGUGAUCUCCACUACACUGAUACAAUGCAGCAACUCCAUUGACUUUCUCAUCUGUGUUGCCCAUAAAGGUGCUGCAGUACAAAAUGCUUUCUGCUCUGCAUUCUGCUUUCAUUUCCAUGCAUUUCUUGCCUGAUACCAGAGUGGAAGUAACACCAGCAUAGUUCAGCCUUCACCUCUUCUUGGCAUGAUUUAUGUACCUCAUACAGCAGCUCUAGGACAUAUUAUUCUCAUGUAUACUAUGCUCCAGCAUAUUUUCUUCUCAAACUAACUUGAUACCUCUAAACAGAAGCAACACUUGGGCAGAGACAUGAAACAGAAGUUGAAACAGUGGGAAAAAAGUGAUUGGGCCCUGCUGCAUUGAAAGGAAAUCCCACAUUAAGCCCAUUUCCACUGUGAUCCCUGUGAAGGGUACAGGCUCUACAUCAGUGGGACACAAGGAGUUCUGUCGACAUCAGUAUACAUGGUAUUUGAUUAAGAAAUGCAAAUGUAUGGAUGUUAUUUAUGGCUUGUGUAGGGGUGCUGGGGAUCUGGUUGGACUGAAGGUUGGUGUGAAAUGUGACACGAACCUGAAUCUCACCUUCUCUAGUCAGCUACGUGCUAAAAAUUGAAGAUACAUCAUGGUUUGUCUAAGCUCUUUAACACUUAACACUCUGGCUGUUCUUAUAGGAAAGGGCAUUUAAUUGCAAUGAGUAGUUUAGGAGUAUUUUAAUUCCAGUUAGUAGCUUAGGGUCAUUUUAGUUGCAAUUAGUAGUCUAGGGGUAUUUCAGUUGCAAUGUAGUGGGGAGCACUACCUCUACAAUACAGUUUCAUCAGUGUGGCAUUACUUGAACAACAGGCCACGAUUCUGAUUGAGGUAAAUCUGCUCCUAAACAAAUAAAGCUAACUGACAACAGGGUACUCCUAAAGAAAGAAACAAAAACCCAAGGAAGAGAGCUACCUGCUAAGCUAACUUACGUUGCUUAAUAGAGGAAAAAGAAGGUAGACAGGGAAUAUGCAGUAUUUCAAUUGGGUAAACACUGGAGAGGGCAAAACAACUGAGCUAAAAGAGUUUUUUGGCACCGGAGGAAAUUAGUGUAAAGUGGUAUGAAUAAUUCGGAGGCUGAAAAUGAAAUGAAUGUUUCUAAGCAUCUGAAGAAUGAAGCAACCGUUUCCAGUAAAAGCCAUGGGAGCAAGGGUCUGAUUUGGCUUCAAGGCAGAGUUUAUUGCUGGCUAUAAAGUGAGUCUGGCUUUGGUGAACCAGGAGGUACCUUUGGGUCUCAGGAAUGACAGGGCAUGGCUCCCAAAGAUUUGGGAGUUUCCUUGUUGCACUGUCAAUA